UUAAAUUAUUAGAAAAUUUUAUUUGGGAUUAGAUAGUAUAAUUAAAUAAAAAAAUAUAGUAUUUAUAAGUUAAUAGUAAAGUGAUUGAAGGUUAAAAAAGUGAGAAUUUUAAAAAAGUAUUUAGUUUUAAAGUAUCUUGUGUAUCAGAGUUGAUUAAUUUAAUAUUUAUAUUUAAAAAUAUCUCGAAAAAAAAAUAGUUAAAUAGUUAUUUUAGUUAAUGUGGAAAAAUUAUUAAUUAUAAUUAUUUAGCAAUGAAAAGUUAUUUGGUUUUUUAGUUAUCUAGUUUUUAGAGAAAUAAAUUUAAUUUAGAAUAUAUAUAUAUAUAUAUAUUUAAAAUAUUGAGGGAUAAGCUUUAAUAUUUAACGUUAUAUGAUUUAAUUGUAGAAUAAAAUUUAUGUAAUUAGUAUUUUUAAUUAAUUAAAAUUUAUAAUAAAAAUUUUUAUUUUUAAGUUAGAUUUAAUUGGGAAUUAAGUAGUUUAUUUAAAUGACUAUAAAAUAGAGAUAAUAGUGAAAUAAUGAUUAAAUUAGUAUAUAAAUUUUAAUUUUUAGAGAAUUAUGAAUAGAUAAAUUAAGUUAAAGAAUUAGGCAAAAAUUUUAAAAAUAUAUUUACUUGUUUAACAAAAACAUGUCUUAAUGAAAUAUUAAUAUUAAGUCUAGUCUGCCCACUGAAUUUAAUUUAAAGGGCUGCAGGAUUUAUACUGUACAAAGGUAGCAUAAUAAUUAGUUUUUUAAUUGAAAACUAGAAUGAAUGACUGAAUAAGAUAUAAACUUUUUAAAUUUAAUUAAUAUAAAAUUUAAUUUUUUAGUGAAAAAGCUAAAAUAUUAUUAAAAGACGAGAAGACCCUAUAGAUCUUUAUAAUUAUAUAGUAAAGAAUUAUUAUGUAUAUUAUUUAAUUGGGGUGAUUUAAAAAUUGAGUUAAUUUUUUAUUAGUAUUAACAGUGAUGACUGAUAUUUAAAAUUGUAAUUAUUGUAAGAAUUGCAUAAAUAAAUUUAGUUACCUUAGGGAUAACAGCAUAAUUUUAAUUUGAAGAUCUUAUUUAAAUUAAAGAUUGUGACCUCGAUGUUGGAUUAAGAUAAAAUUUAAUUGUAAAUGAUUAAAAUUUAAGUCUGUUCGACUUUUAAAAUCUUACAUGAUCUGAGUUCAGACCGGUGUAAACCAGGUUGGUUUCUAUCUUUAGUGAUUUUUAUAUUUAUAGUACGAAAGGAAUUAAAUUUUAUUUAUUUUUAGGUAAAAAGAAAGGAAUAAAGAUAAAGUUG
rnacentral:rRNA from 1 species